GUAAUACCUGCAGCAAGUUAAGCGCGUGUCAGCGAGCAGCCACGUUUCCCUUUAUUUCUGUGAUUUUCAUUUUUAGUGGUUGAACUGAACGUACUCGGGGUCGAGAUAUCCUGGGGUGCCCACUACUCGUGUGGAGACAUGGGAGUGGAGGUCGCUGUUGAAGGCCUUGGACAGGCCGAAAUCGGCUAUCUUGGCCUCGAGGUUGCUCCCGUUCAGGAGGAUGUUGGCCGUCUUCACAUCCCUGUGGAUCAGGGGCGGCUUGCAUGCCUUGUGCAGCUAGCCAGGAAACCUUGAGCAGAUUCGAGCGAAAUUCUUAACCGUUGGCGCCAUGGUAGGGGUGCAGUGUCAGGAGAUUUUACUGCAGAAUAGAAUACAAGCGGUCAGUACGAGUUUCAGGCAUGGUAGAGCACUCCAGUUUCAAGUUACUACCUCUUAGCUUUUCUUGUAAAGUCCCUUCG